UGCCAGCCGCCGCGGUAACACGCAGGGUGCAAACGUUGCUCGGAAUUACUGGGCGUAAAGCGCGUGCAGGCGGCGCUCCAAGUUUUGUGUGAAAGCCCUCGGCUUAACCGGGGAACUGCGCAAGAUACUGGAGUGCUAGAAUAUGGGAGAAGAGGGCGGAAUUCCUAGUGUAGAGGUGAAAUUCGUAGAUAUUAGGAGGAACACCAGUGGCGAAAGCGGCUCACUGGCUAGAUACUGACGCUGAGGUACGAAAGUGUGGGGAGCAAACAGGAUUAGAUA
rnacentral:rRNA from 1 species